rnacentral:lncRNA from 1 species
GGCUCCUCCCGGGGCCGGUUCCCGCUGUCUCAGCCGCGGCGCAGAGGGCACAUCGGCCUGACCGACUAGCCGGCUGCCAGUGCCGGGAGCCGCCGCGUCCAUCCCCGCCCGCCUGGCCGGGGACCCAGGACUGAGUCGUCCAGCUGCGCCCCUCGCCCAUAGCCCCAGCGGGCGCCGGGCGGGCGAGCAGCUCUUCGGCCCUUCCCGGACAGCGACGCAGUCGCAGCGCGCGCCCUAACACAGAUGUGGGAAGAUAAAUGAAGGGGUCUAGAUGUAAAUGUCAGUGGAAAGGAGAGCUACCAUCACUAAGGGUCUCACUCUGAUGCCCACGCUGGAGUCCAGUGGUAUGAACACAGAUCACUGCAGCCUCGACUUCCUGGGCUCGGGUGAUUCUCCCACCUCAGCCUCCCAAGUAGCUGAGACUACAUGCAUACAUCAUCACACAGGGCCAAUUUUUGUAUUUUUUGUAGAAACGGGGUGUCCGCAUGUUGCCCACGCUGGUCUCUAACUCCUGGGCUCACAUCGUUCACCCACCUUGGCCUCCCAAAUUGCUGGGAUUACAAGCAUGAGCCACUGCGCCCGUCCAGGAGGAAAGUUUUUAGAAAAAGGUGCACAAGAAAGAGCAUAGGAUUGUGCCAGCAUUGAUGUUAUCUUCUGGUUAUAUGAGAGUGUUUGCCAAGAAUCGGUCAAAUGUUUUACAUUAGGGAAAAAGCAUUAUUGUUACUGGCAUAGGGAGGGCCCCAGUUAAAAUAGCAGUCCAAUUCAGAGACCUUCGUAUUUGUCGUUAAGAUCAAAAGGACUCUUGGAAUAAUGGACUAUGCUACAGGAUUAUUUUAAGUUCAGAUAGAUAAAUUAGCUUCUUCCCAAAUUCUCAUUCUGCUUUUCCUGUGGUACUAUAUAGUAUCAUGAAGUUAUAUCUUUAAACUCUUAGUUUGUACUAUGUGGUGUCUUAUGAAAACCUUGAUUUGUUUAUACUUAGUGAAUGAAACACUUGGGUUUAAAGUUCUUUAACUGAUGUCACUUCUUAGGCUAGAAAGCUGUUGA